rnacentral:tRNA from 1 species
GCCUUCGUGGUGUAGUGGUCAGCACGCUCGGCGCGUAUUCGAGAUGCCAGUGGUUCGAAUCCCGGCGAGGGCA